AGAUUGAACGCUGGCGGCAUGCCUUACACAUGCAAGUCGAACGGCAGCACGGGAGCAAUCCUGGUGGCGAGUGGCGAACGGGUGAGUAAUACAUCGGAACGCGCCCAAUCGUGGGGGAUAACGCAGCGAAAGCUGUGCUAAUACCGCAUAAGAUCUACGGAUGAAAGCAGGGGAUCGCAAGACCUUGCGCGAAUGGAGCGGCCGAUGGCAGAUUAGGUAGUUGGUGAGGUAAAGGCUCACCAAGCCUUCGAUCUGUAGCUGGUCUGAGAGGACGACCAGCCACACUGGGACUGAGACACGGCCCAGACUCCUACGGGAGCAGCAGUGGGGAAUUUUGGACAAUGGCGCAAGCCUGAUCCAGCCAUUCCGCGUGCAGAUGAAGCCCGUGGUGUAACUGCUUUGUACGAACGAAAGGUCCUAGGUUAAUACCGUGGCUGAUGACGUACGUAAGAAGUAAGCACCGGCUAACGUACGU
rnacentral:rRNA from 1 species